rnacentral:rRNA from 1 species
ACUCCUACGGGAGGCAGCAGUGGGGAAUAUUGCACAAUGGGCGCAAGCCUGAUGCAGCCAUGCCGCGUGUAUGAAGAAGGCCUUCGGGUUGUAAAGUACUUUCAGCAGUGAGGAAGGUGGGUAUGUUAAUAGCAUACUCAUUUGACGUUAGCUGCAGAAGAAGCACCGGCUAACUCCGUGCCAGCAGCCGCGGUAAUACGGAGGGUGCGAGCGUUAAUCGGAAUUACUGGGCGUAAAGCGCAUGCAGGUGGUUUGUUAAGCCAGAUGUGAAAGCCCGGGGCUCAACCUCGGAAUUGCAUUUGAAACUGGCAAACUAGAGUACUGUAGAGGGGGGUAGAAUUUCAGGUGUAGCGGUGAAAUGCGUAGAGAUCUGAAGGAAUACCGGUGGCGAAGGCGGCCCCCUGGACAGAUACUGACACUCAGAUGCGAAAGCGUGGGGAGCAAACAGGAUUAGAUACCCCUGGUAGGCGUAG